rnacentral:rRNA from 1 species
UAGAGCGGCGGACGGGUGAGUAACACGUGGACAAUCUGCCCCCGGCCCGGGAUAGCCCAGGGAAACCUGGAUUAAUACCGGAUGAGACGGGACCCGCGAUGGCGGGAUCCGGGAAAGGCGCUGCGGCGCCGCCGGGGGAUGAGUCUGCGUCCCAUUAGCUAGACGGCGGGGUAACGGCCCACCGUGGCGACGAUGGGUAGCCGGCCUGAGAGGGUGGACGGCCACAUUGGAACUGAGACACGGUCCAGACUCCUACGGGAGGCAGCAGCUAAGAAUCGUUCCGCAAUGGGCGAAAGCCUGACGGAGGCCGACGCCGCGUGAACGAAGAAGGCCGUGAGGUUGUAAAGUUCUUUUCGGGAGGGGGAACAACCGUGGCAGGGAAUGGCCGCGGGAUGACGUGAAUCCCGGAAUAAGCCCCGGCUAACUACGUGCCAGCCGCCGC